rnacentral:tRNA from 1 species
CUGAAAAUGCCUAGAUGAGUAUUCUUACUCCAUAAACA